GUGUCCGUUGUUUUCCUGCUCAAUUUUGGGGCCAUUUUUCAUUAUUUUGUUGUCAGGGGUUCAUCCCCUUCUCUCUAAGCCCCCAAAAUCCUCUGAAACCCCCCAAAAUUUGUGUCCCCGCCUCCGUCUCCCUCACAGAGGCGCCGCCAUUUUGGGCCAGUUUUGAGGCCAUCCUGGAACCAUUUUGGGCCCUUUUUGGGCAAUUUUGGCCCAUUUCAGAGUCUGGGGUUAACCCCCUUCCCAUUUUACCACCUAAAUCCGUCUCAAACCUCCCCAAAAUUGUCUAAAAUUGCGUCCCCACCGUCCCCACCCAGCCGCCAUUUUGAGGCCGUCCUGAGCCCCUUCCGGAGCCACUUUGGGGCCAUUUUGAGCAAUUUUGGGGCCAUUUUGAGCAAUUUUGGGGCUGUUUGGAUCCAUUUUGGGUCAGGGGUUCACCCCCUUCCCCUUGAACCCCCAAAAUUCUCCUCAAUUCUCCCAAACCUGUCCAAAAUUGCGUCCCCACACCGUCCUCACGCAGCCGCCAUUUUGAGACCAUUCCGAGCCUGUUCUGGAGCCAUUUUGGGGCAAUUUUGAGCAAAUUUGGGGCCAUUUUGGGGUCCCUUAAAAACAGUUUGGACUGUUUUGGGGUCAGGGGUUCACCCCCUGCCCCUUUUACCCCUAAAUUUGUCCUUAAACUUCCCAAAAUCCUCCAAAUUGUCGUCCCCGUUGUCCUCACGCAGCCGCCAUUUUGAGGCCGUCCCGGAGCCAUUUUGGGGCCGUUUUGAGCCAUUUUGGGGCCGUUUUGAGCCAUUUUGGGGCCGUUUUGAGCCGUUUUGGGGCCGUUUUGGGGCCGGGGGCCGGCGCCUGACGCGCCCCCCCCCUUUUGUCUCCCCCAGACAUGUCGAGCCGCGCCGUGUGCCGCCACUUCAUGCUCAAGGGCAGCUGCAGGUACGAGAACAACUGUGCCUUCUACCACCCCGGCGUCAACGGGCCCCCCCUGCCCUGAAACCCCCCAAAAACACCCCAAAAACACCCAAAACCACCCCAAAAUCCCCCCUCGGUUAUGGCUUCCGUGAGGCCUCGGAGGGGGACGAGGGGGCGGAGAAAGAACGGAGGAAAAAGGGGGAAAAUUCAAAUUAUUGGUGUUGGGGUGUGGUGGUGGUGGUGGAGGGGAUGGGGAGUGGAGAUUUGGGGUGAAAAUUGGAGAUUUGGGGUAGGAAUUGGGGUAAAACUGGAAAUUUGGGGUAGGAAUUGGACAUUUUUUGUAGAAAUUGGAGAUUUGGGGUGAAAAUUAUAAAUUUGAGGCAGGAAUUGGAAGUUUGGUGUAAAACUU
rnacentral:lncRNA from 1 species